ACCCGAGUAGCAGCGGGCCCGUGAAAUCUGCUGUGAAUCUGCCGGGACCACCCGGUAAGCCUGAAUACUCCCUGGUGACCGAUAGCGGACUAGUACCGUGAGGGAAAGGUGAAAAGUACCCCGGGAGGGGAGUGAAAUAGUACCUGAAACCGUGCGCUUACAAUCCGUCAGAGCCUUCGAUUUCGGUCGUGGGGUGAUGGCGUGCCUUUUGAAGAAUGAGCCUGCGAGUCAUCGGUGUGUGGCGAGGUUAACCCGUGUGGGGUAGCCGUAGCGAAAGCGAGUCCGAAUAGGGCGUUUGAGUCGCAUGUCAUGGACCCGAAGCGGAGUGAUCUACCCAUGGCCAGGGUGAAGCGACGGUAAGACGUCGUGGAGGCCCGAACCCACUUAGGUUGAAAACUGAGGGGAUGAGCUGUGGG
rnacentral:rRNA from 1 species